rnacentral:rRNA from 1 species
AUUGAACGCUGGCGGCAGGCCUAACACAUGCAAGUCGAGCGAGUGGCGGACGGGUGAGUAAUGUCUGGGAAACUGCCUGAUGGAGGGGGAUAACUACUGGAAACGGUAGCUAAUACCGCAUACCAUCAGAUGGUCCCAGAUGGGAUUGGCUAGUAGGUUGGGUAACGGCUCACCUGGGCGACGAUCCCUAGCUGGUCUGAGAGGAUGACCAGCAACACUGGAACGUAUACACGGUCCAGACUCUUACGGGAGGCAGCAUUGGGGAAUAUUGCACAAUGGGCGCAAGCCUGAUGCAGCCCUGCGGCGUGUGUGAAGAAGGUCUUCGGAUUGUAAAGCACUUUAAGUUGGGAGGCGUUACCAACAGAAUAAGCACCGGCUAACUUCGUGCCAGCAGCCGCGGUAAUAC